rnacentral:rRNA from 1 species
GACGGACCCGCACAAGCAGCGGAGCGUGUGGUUUAAUUCGAGGCUACACGAAGAACCUUACCAGGGUUUGACAUGCAAGUGUAGGAAUCCGAAAGGUGACCGACCCUUCGGGGAGCUUGCACAGGUGCUGCAUGGCUGUCGUCAGCUCGUGUCGUGAGAUGUUCGGUUAAGUCCGCUAACGAGCGCAACCCUCGUCGUGUGUUAUACGUGUCACACGAUACUGCCGGUAUCAAGCCGGAGGAAGGUGGGGAUGAUGUCAAGUCAGCAUGGCCUUUAUAUCCUGGGCUACACACACGCUACAAUGGCAGAUACAAUAGGUUGCGAAACCGCGAGGUGGAGCCAAUCCUCAAAGUCUGUCUCAGUUCAGAUUGUAGGCUGCAACUCGCCUGCAUGAAGUUGGAGUUGCUAGUAAACGCAGGUCAGCUAUACUGCGUUGAAUACGUUCCCGGGGUUU